rnacentral:rRNA from 1 species
GCACGGGUGAGUAAUGGAUAGGAACGUACCGAAUAGUGGGGAAUAACCUUUGGAAACGAAGGCUAAUACCGCAUGUGAUCGCGAGAUUAAAGUGGGCCUCUACUUGUAAGCUCACGCUAUUUGAUCGGCCUAUCUCCCAUUAGCUUGUUGGCAGGGUAAUGGCCUACCAAGGCUACGAUGGGUAGCUGGUCUGAGAGGAUGAUCAGCCACACUGGGACUGAGACACGGCCCAGACUCC